AUGUCAAGCCCUGCUGCAGAGCCUCCGGCUGGGAUAGCCGCCCCCCGUGGGGGCGAUGCGGACAGCGCGGGACAGCCAGGGGAGCGCGCGGGGGCCGCAGCAUGCGGGAACCUGCUAAACCCGGUGGCUGCUGAGGCGGCCGAGAUGCUCGUGCGCGCAGCGCGCCCCACUGCAUCCUCGACCUUCUCCGGCUACAGGUACGACCCAGCGGGAGACUUGGGCUCGGCGGGCCGGGGAGAAGAAAGACUCGACCAGAGGGAGAGCUGGAGAAGGAUCUGGGGAGAGGGAGAGAGAAAGCGGGAGAGGGAGCAUCGGUAGCGAGGCGCGGGAUGAGCACCAGGGGGCGCUGCGGCUCCGCGCUCCGCAGAGCUCUGCCGAAGAGCGUCGAGGCAGGUGCAAGUUCGCCCCAACUUCCCUUGGUUCCAGCAGCGCCGGGCCCAAGGGGCGCGCGCCAGUGCUCGCGCGCCCAACUGUGCCGAUAUUUGCAGGCAGGGGCUCUGUGCACCUGGCCCGCUACAUGUGUGUGCACCGCCUGAGAACGUGUGCGGACUCGGGAUGGCCUUGGGCUUCUUUGCGGCCUGCGGCUGUGCGCAGAAAUGCGCGCGUGCCUGUGAGGGUGAGCAGCCCACUGCUGACGUGCACCUAAGACUUGGUAACAGAACCUGAAGUGAAAAGCCUGGGGUAGAGGGGGGGAGCGCUGUACAGUUCACCUCGGUCAGCUUCUUGGGAGCCCACCUUCCCUGCUUCUCUCCCCCACCCCACGCACGUUCUUUGCCAGCUCCCACGUGUCGGCCCGCGGGGGGACGUGCCUCUUCUCCGGAAUUCUGCAUUGCACAUGGCAUGCGUGAGAGAUUGUGUGUGUGUGUGCGCGCGCGUGUGUUUGCACGCGCGCUCGUAUAGGGGGCGGGUCCUAGGACUGCUUGCAGCUGAGUGAAAAUCAAUUCACCGCUCUUCUGCGCGAGGUAGGGCGGACUCUAAGUUCCCCCCCAGGUACCCUGGAUCCUGGGGCGCACAAGCAAGCGUCCUCACUCUCAUGUGCUUGGGGUGUACCCCGCAGGAGAGGUGCGGGGUCUGCAGCGGGUGUCAAGUAGAGGCAGGUGGGUGCGAAACCCAGCGGGUUCGCAGGGGGCGGGGUCAGUCAACUAGCUUAGCGCGGGAGCAGGGAUGCACAGUCUCUGCCGCCUCCGCACUCCUGAGCGGGUUCUCAGUUUGCUCCCUGUGAGCAGGAAGCGGGGUCCGUAACUGGGUCUGCACUGGCAGGGGUGGGUGGAGGGUUGUUCUGUGCUCCUACGCUCAGGGGCAGUGGUCCAAAGCUAACUUCGGGGAUGCGGUGGGAGAUGUGGGUAGAGCCGGAGAUGGAGAGGAGGCUGGAGUCUCGGGAUGAGGAGGAGGCUGAAUGUGAAGAUGGAUUUGGGGACAGGGAUGGAGAAUUAGCUCGGAUUGUCGUUGUGGAUAGAUCUGGAGAUGGGUCGCGGGAUGUGGACGGCGUCUGGAAUGGGGAAUGGAAUCAGUGACUCCAGCAACUCUCGCUGGGCAUGGGUUCCAUACCUGGCUCCUAGAGUAAGGGGCUGGGUUGGUAAUCCCUUUUGUCUAGAAUCCUCGAACACCGCGGUCCUGACUCUUCCUCUCCAUCUUGC
rnacentral:lncRNA from 9 species